CUGUCCCGCACGUGGGUCCCCGGGAUCCGGCGCCCCUGUGGCCCGCCGCCUGGACGCGGCCUGGAGGCCGGCGGGUGGUUUUCUGCUCCCUGCGCGGGUCUGUGGUGCUGGCCACGGUCUUGCACGUCGUGCCGUGAGAGGCUUAUCACUUUAAAAUGGGGUGAGGUGGUGCGCACAGACUGUUGCGGAGCGGAGCGAGUACCGUGUGAGUUGAAGCGGCGAAGACGACGAGUUAGCACGUCCAUCAAGUACACGUUUAUUGGCUGCGUGUGUGUGCCGGUCUCCGUGGUGCAAAACGGGAAUGAGCCGGAUGAAAGAGGCACCCUUGACCUUACAGUGUGGUGAGGCGGACGGAUGGACGGUUACCGUAGAGCCGAAGCCCCUGGAGGAAGUCAUCGUCGUCCGUUCGAGGGCCUUGGCAGGUGCGGGGCGGCGAGUCAGGGGUCCCGUCGCCGAGCCAGCGUAGCGGACUGAACCAGCGGGAAGCCGGUGGAGCGAGGCGGCGGGCCCUAGGGCGUGGGGGCGUGACAGCGCAGGGCCCGGCGCCGGGGGGAACGUGCGUGUGGUGGGCAGCUGGGGCGAAGAGGAAGAGUGCGCAGUUCCUGGACUGUUCCAGGGAACUCAGACGUGGAAGGGCGGUGUGCUUCUCCACUUUUAACGUAAGCUCAUAAACUGAAUGUAUGCACGCUGCCUUGCAGAAGAGACCCGGCCAGGGGCUUCGGCUCCCCCAGCCCUGCUUGGCCGCCUCGGUCGCUGAGUUCAUCAGCAUGCCCGCACCCAGUGAACUGUGGCAUCGCACGGUAGACGGGAAGGGCUGCUCUACAGAGGGGGGAUAUCUGUCAUCCUACUAGCUUCUAGAAAUAUUCCAGAAGCAGUGUGGUAAAUGAGUUGGAAGGGGGCGAGAGUGGGAGCAAGAGAGAAGAGACGUGCAGCUGUCAGAGAAAGAACCAAUACUAGCAUCUUUACCUUCAAAUCAUUGGCCUGAUGACAGCGAUUCACUCUGACUAAAUAUGUUUCUAGUUUGGAGUUGAUCUCUGUUAACAGUGAUGCGUUACAUAUUAUCAUGAGCCUUAAGCUCCCCCUACUGUUGUAGUGAGCCAGUCUUCUGAGCUGUUCUGCCCAGGAAUGGAUUCAGUCCAGCCCUUUCGGGCUGCAGAACAGAAGGAUGUCAACUAGUUAUAGAAUCUAGCCUGCACAGAAAUGGUGCUUCUGACAGGAGUUCUUCAGACAAAACUUAAGGCAGUUCUGCUGGGAGGACUCCCUUGGGCCUCAGAAGUCCAGCUCCAGGCGCUCUGCCGUCGGUGGCUGCGGCCGGAGACGCCAGCAAGGAGCAGAUCGUGGAGCUGCUGGUGCCAGAGUGUUCCUGACCAUCCUGCCCGAGGAGCUGCAGGCCCGGGUGCGGGAGCAGCCCAGAGUAUAGGAAGGACGCGGUUCCUGGACUGGGAGGGCUUGUCGAGGAAGCUAGAUAAUCCCCGAGGAAAGGUGAGAUAAGGAAGAAAUGAUCCAUCAUCAGAAGGCAGGUAUUCUGUCCAGAGAGAGUCCCCUCUUUCAGAUGAUUUGGUUGAAAUGGAGAAGAUGCUUCCAAAGUAGAAGUCUGAAGAAAUAACAUGCCAACAGGGACCCAUUGUCAGAUUAGAUGGAGGUAUUAAUACCUCAGUGCUUUCAUUACAUAAGUCCAGAAAUAUCAGGGAAGACUAGAAAGAUACCCAUGAUGGCGUAAGUGUGAUGAAUGUGGAAUGAGUUUCACUCAGAGCUCCAUCCUUAUUCAGCAUCCGAGCUACACACUGAGGAGAAACUCUAUGAAUGUGAUGAGUGUGGAAGAGCUUUUGUCAAGAGUGCAGGCUGCAGUGAAGAUAAGACAGUUCACACUGAAUUUGACUCACAGAUGUGGAGGAUAUGGGACAAUAUGCAAACACUGGAUUAGUUCAUCACAGAGAAGCCAUCUUGGAGAGAGACCCUGUAAUAGAAGUGACAAGUAUGGUAAAGCCUUGGAGAGCAGUCAGCUCUUAACCAGCACCAAAGACUUCACACCAGCGAGAAGUGUUACCAUCUGAACAAGUGUGGAAGAGCUAAUAGUCGGAACACAGAGCUUUUCCACUGUGUCAGAAUCUGUGUUGGAGAAAAACUCUUUUAGUGUAAUUGUAGUAAAAAUUUUCCUGGACAUUUCAUUCUUUACUCAGUAUCAGAAAAGUCACUCAAGAGAGAAUGUGGGAAGUUGAUAAAUAUGGAUGGAAAGGCUGUGAACAGUAGCAUCUCAUCUAACACUAAAAACUUUUAAGUGUCCAGCAUCUGAGACUGGCAAGGCAGAAUCUCUCUUCAUACCAGACGUGUAGGUGGUCUUUGAUGGGAACUGGCCCUUCAGAAUGUCCCUCAAAACCUGGUCAGAUUCAACAGAGCAAGCCAGUUACUUUUUCCUUAACAGCCUCAUCAAACAAGCUACAUUAUUUUAGUGAUUCAAAGGGCUGCCUAUGGUCUACCACUUCAGAUUUCCAGAUGUUUUAUUAGUUGUUCCUAAAUACAGUUCUUACAAAAGCUUG